GAUGAACGCUAGCUACAGGCUUAACACAUGCAAGUCGAGGGGUAACAAGAGGAAAGCUUGCUUUCCUUGUCGACGACCGGCGCACGGGUGAGUAACGCGUAUCCAACCUGCCCCCAACUAGGGAAUAACCUUGCGAAAGUAAGACUAAUACCCUAUAAUUUCCUCAGAUGACAUCUGACGAGGAAUAAAGAUUUAUCGGUUGUGGAUGGGGAUGCGUCUGACCAGCUUGUUGGCGGGGUAACGGCCAACCAAGGCAACGAUCAGUAGGGGUUCUGAGAGGAAGGUCCCCAACAUUGGAACUGAGACACGGUCCAAACUCCUACGGGAGGCAGCAGUGAGGAAUAUUGGUCAAUGGGCGGAAGCCUGAACCAGCCAAGUAGCGUGCAGGAUGACGGCCCUAUGGGUUGUAAACUGCUUUUAUACAGGAAUAAAGUUAGCCACGUGUGGUUAUUUGUAGGUACUGUAUGAAUAAGGACCGGCUAAUUCCGUGCCAGCCGCCGCCGUAA
rnacentral:rRNA from 1 species